GCGGGCUUUGUGAAGUGGUAUCACAGAGGUCUCCAAAACCUUUAUCGUAGGUUCGAUUCCUACAGCCCGCGCCA
rnacentral:tRNA from 1 species